rnacentral:lncRNA from 1 species
GCAAACUGGAACUCCUGUGUGCUCUUGCUAGGGAGAACUGCAGCUCUGUGCAACUGAUGCGGCCCUCGUUGGGGAGCAUGGGGAGGUGCUUUGCCUUCACCCCAACGAGGGCCUGGAGGGUGCCGGUGAUCUCUGACCCAAGACUGCGCCUUUCUCCCAACUGUGAGAGUGUCCCCUUCCCCGUGUGCCCGGGGUGCUGCCAUUCCCCCGGUGCAUAUUCCCAGUCCUCCCGGAUGCUGCCGCUGGUCUCGCCCUGCUCCCGUGCACAGGCCGCCUGCCCUCCACGAGCCCUGCCUGCAAAGCCCUAAGGCGAAAGCACCAAAGGGCCAGGAUUGUUGACUUGCUGAGGUGGACACAUAGUUUUGGUUUUACAGUAAAAAAGAUGUUGGCAAUUGUUGCUGAUGAUUAAAAGAGUUUAUUACAUGGUGAG